AGUGAACGCUGGCGGUAGGCCUAACACAUGCAAGUCGAACGGCAGCACAGUAAGAGCUUGCUCUUACGGGUGGCGACUGGCGGACGGGUGAGGAAUACAUCGGCAUCUACUUUUUCGUGGGGGAUAACGUAGGGAAACUUACGCUACUACCGCAUAUGACCUACGGGUGAAAGCAGGGGAUCUUCGCACCUUGCGUGAUUCAAUUAGCCGAUGUCGCAUUAGCUAGUUGGCGGGGUAAAGGCCCACCAAGGCGACGAUCCGUAGCUGGUCUGAGAGGAUGAUCAGCCACACUGGAACUGAGACACGGUCCAGACUCCUACGGGAGGCAGCAGUGGGGAAUAUUGGGCAAUGGGCGCAAGCCUGAUCCAGCCAUACCGCGUGGGUGAAGAAGGCCUUCGGGUUGUAAAGCCCUGUUAUUAGGAAAGAAAAGCUGCAUGAUAAUACCCCGCUGUUCUGACGGUACCCAAAGAAUAAGCACCGGCUAACUUCGUG
rnacentral:rRNA from 1 species